rnacentral:rRNA from 1 species
CCUACGGGAGGCAGCAGUGGGGAAUAUUGCACAAUGGGGGAAACCCUGAUGCAGCGACGCCGCGUGAGUGAAGAAGUAUUUCGGUAUGUAAAGCUCUAUCAGCCGGGAAGAAAAUGACGGUACCUGAUGAAGAAGCCCCGGCUAACUACGUGCCAGCAGCCGCGGUAAUACGUAGGGAGCAAGCGUUAUCCGGAUUUACUGGGUGUAAAGGGAGCGUAGACGGCAGCACAAGUCUGGAGUGAAAUGCCGGGGCUUAACCCCGGAACUGCUUUGGAAACUGUGCAGCUAGAGUGCAGGAGAGGUAAGUGGAAUGCCUAGUGUAGCGGUGAAAUGCGUAGAUAUUAGGAGGAACACCAGUGGCGAAGGCGGCUUACUGGACUGCAACUGACGUUGAGGCUCGAAAGCGUGGGGAGCAAACAGGAUUAGAUACCCUAGUAGUC